rnacentral:lncRNA from 1 species
CGCAGAGGGAAGGGGAGUGGGAAAGGGAGAGCGGGGAGACUGCGGAGGGGAGAGCGCGGCACCGGGAGUGGGCUCCGGGGACAGACAGGGAAGUGUCAUCAUUAUUCUCGCUGUGCCGACAGAUCUGGGGUCUUUGCCUAGAGCAAUCCAGCAGCACCAGCACCGAAAUCCUGGUUCCUUGUUCCCAUCCCAGCUCUUGGAAGGAUCCUGGUAAUAAUAAUCAUGCAAACAGGCUUUGCUGAGGGAGAUGAUUUCAGGAACGGUGAUAGCUGGGAGACAGUGAUGGAGCCACACUUGUCACAUGAAUAACCACAGUCUGUCCAGUCAGAGCUGACAGUCUAAGGCAAGGCAGCUCCUUCUGUGCUGAUUUAAGAGGCUCUUCGUAGACACAGCAGAUCUUUCUGCUUCACCUCCCCUGCAUAAUAAGAAGCAGCAUCCUUCCUGUUAGUUUAUCUGCCUUUGGAUGGGAUGUGAGGCUGGCAGACCCCUCUGGGCACGGGGGAACCCUGGAAGGAAGUGAAGGCUUUUAACUUUCUGCAUGAGUGCAGUGAGAUUGUGGGUUGUAGUUUCAGUGCCUCUAAACCUGGCACUCAGGGAGGAGUUCCCAGCUGAGUAAAUCUUUACAUGAUCUUCAGAAACGUUAUCAAGGAGGGACACACAGAGAGGGACAAGGUGCUCCACUGGGAUGGAUGGAUUUACAGGGGGCUCCUGAGGUUAUAGAUACCCCUCAACAAUGAGAGAUGUUAAAAAGCAAAAUGCCCCUACUUUUUUAAAAUAGAAACCUUUUUUUCCCCUGCAUAAUCCAGCCAGAAGAUUCCCCCAAUUCCAGGUCCUGGGUGAGGCAGCCAUGGCAGUGCUGAGUGAGGGAUGCUGAGGAGAAGAUGUAAUUCUGAAGGGAGAAUCAUAGAAUAAGCUGAGAUGGAAGGAACCCAUUAGGAACAUCAAGUCCAACUCCUGGUCUUACGUGGCCUUAUGCAGGACACCCCAUGAAUGCCACCAUGUGCCUGAGAGUGUUACCCAAACAUUGAGGGAAUCAGGGCGCUGACGGGAAAAUGGGAGCGCUGAGGGGAGCCAUGUGUUGAGAGGAGCCAAGGGCGCUGAGGGGAAAUGGGGAGCUGAAGGGAGACAGGGGUGUUUAGGGGACAUGGGGGCACUGAGGGGAGCAGGGAUUGCUGAUGAAACCGGGAACCUGAGGAGAGUUGGACGCUGAGAGGAAAAAUGGCGCUGAGGGGAGCCAGGGGC